rnacentral:misc_RNA from 1 species
GAUGAAGAACGCAGUGAAAUGCGAUAAGUAGUGUGAAUUGCAGAAUUCAGUGAAUCAUCGAAUCUUUGAACGCACAUUGCGCCCCUUGGUAUUCCAUGGGGCAUGCCUGUUCGAGCGUCAUUUGUACCUUCAAGCUCUGCUUGGUGUUGGGUGUUUGUCUCGCCUCUGCGCGUAGACUCGCCUCAAAACAAUUGGCAGCCGGCGUAUUGAUUUCGGAGCGCAGUACAUCUCGCGCCUUGCACUCAUAACGACGACGUCCAAAAGUACAUUUUUACACUCUUGACCUCGGAUCAGGUAGGGAUACCCGCUGAACUUAAGCAUAUCAAUAAGCGGAGGA